rnacentral:sRNA from 1 species
UUUUUUGUUUGGUCCUUUGAAAAUUCAGUAGUGGAUCGUACACUUUCCCACAUCCCUAUCUUUGUAACCACUAUUUUAAUUGACUUUUAUAUUCCAGUAGGGGUGUUACAGUUUACCUAAUUAUUCCUGUUAGGCAAUGUCUGAUCUUUUUUUUGCCAGUUUUUUGUAAGUCAUGUUGUGAAAAUAACAUCUGUAUCUCUUCAGUUUUUCCAGUAAUUUCCUUGAUGAGUUCUCACUGUAAUCAGGUCAAAGAUCAGGAACAUUUCAGUAAUUUAUAAAUAUUGCUAAAUUGUUUUCUACGAGGGUAAUAUCAAUUUGUGUAUUUGAGUACCAUGCCUGUUUAUACUGUAAUUGACCAUAUUUCUAAUUACUAUUUUCUUCCAUGUGUUCAGUUUUUUACUUUUUCUGAACUAUUAUCUAUGCCAAGUGUUAUCCAGUAGAAUUUUCUGCAGUCAUAAAAAUACUGUAUAAUCUUCACUGUCCAGUAUCAUAGUUAGGAGCCACAUGUGGCAGUUGCACCGUUGAAAUGUGGCUAGUGUGACUGAGGAAUGGAAUUUUUAAUUUGAAACUAAGUAGCUGCAUAUGGCUAGUGCUACGGUAUUUUAUAUUGUGGGAGUAUUCUGCUACUUUUCACUCUUCUAUUUGAAGUUGCUCACUCACAUGCCAUUUGCCCAUCCCUGAUGAGAUUGAAUUUUUACCUAAACUUGGCCCUCUAGACUGUUUAGGGGCAGCAGACACAUGUUGCCUGUAUGUAAAAUGUAAAAUGUUUUGUCUACAAGCAAUCAUAGUGCACUGUGGAAACUCACUGCUUCCCUGUUAGGUAAUGCAAGUCUAAAGACUACUCCAGUUUAUCCUCUCUGCCUCCUUAUCUUCUCAAUGAUUGUUUCAUUUCUAAAUGCCCAUUCCUUUUCAAUCGUACCAUAUGUCCUCAUCUCCCUUUAGUUUUCUUUUUGCUACUAAGUUUUAGCUUUUCAGUCUAAUGUCUGAUGCUGAUGUCCUCUAUUUAGCAGGGAUGGUGAGAGAAGGUCAGCUAAAUGGCUCAUCUGCAGCACACAGUGAAAUAAGAGGCUGUAGUACAUGAGCGAGCUAGAGAAAUCACCACUGUUUAGACCAAGCUGUAAGGCCCUACUACGGACAGUGUUUAACAAGUAAACUUACAAGAACUCAACACAACUCCCAGAAAGUAACAAUAGCCAGAGGUUGAAGGGCAGGGUAGAAGAGGGGGGAAUGUUCCAGCGUAAUCCUUCAUACCACCUGGUUCUUGAUAUUCUGCUGCCUGUUCAAGUUCAAGAAUAAAAGUGACAGCAGGACCCAAAUGCAGCUCCCAACCCACUCCCCAGGCUGGACAUGCUUGUGUCCACACAGCACACCAAUGUGAUACCUCCACUGACUGGCUGCAGCUCUGCAUGAAGGACUUGGGGUCUAGAUGCCAUGGAAUCACUGUGGCUCUUGUUGCAGUUUUGUACUCUAUACUUGGUUUUUCAAUUAAGCUUAAUGGCUUUUUUAAAACAUGACUUGAAGCUCUAGUUUUCUAGAUCUUUUACAGUGUACAGUAUUUUACAUAACUGAGCUGUAUUAAAAGCUUGUUCAUUUACUUGCCAGGACCCUGGCUCUACUUUUAGAGUGAUUGUAGGAAACUCUAACUUGCAUCAAGGUACUAGGUAAGCUUAAUUUUAAUAACCCAAAGUUUAAAGGUUCCGAUCUUUCCCCUUGGGGUGGAGUGAUCUCAUUCUCAGGACAACCGUUUACUUACCUGAUUCCUUGGAGCAUUAUCAACUUCUGCUCUGUUGUCCUGACCAUACAUAUGCCCUAAAACUACAGUUAGUGUGUUGUGGAAUUUUAGUUUUGAAUCCUGUAUAAAAGAACUCC